GCUUUAACAAAUUCCUCAGACGGAGGAGUCAUGAGGCCUGAUAUACCAUUGCCUUGAACCUUGGCCAGUCGUACACCAGUCCGGAGUGGGUGUAAAAUGCUGCCAUUCUGAGCUGGUGGCAUUUCUACACCCACUUUGCACAGGUCUAAGUGACUGCACAAGGUGCAGGGCAAUGGAAAAAUCAAGCCCACAGUUUCUAAUUUUGCAUCAUUGUUCUUUAAGAGUUCUACUUUGAACCCACAUAUGAGAUUUGGAACAUCUGAUCUGCCAGAUCACUGGCUGGUGCACGACCAGCCCCACAGCGUUAAGGUAGAUCCCAGGGAGAGGCCCAGGUGGCACAAGGAAGUCAGUGCACUAGUUUCUAAGUAUCAGAGUCCAAAGCAUGAUGGGUCACAAUGUGGAGAAAUGGGAAGCCACUGAAACAAUAUUCACAUAGCAAAAUCCACCACACAAAAGACAGCAUCGCUGUUCAUGAAAGGCCCAAGACAAGAACAGCCUGGGAUGAUCUAGAUCAGGAGGUGCAGAGCUUGGGAAACAGAGGAAUGUGCCACACAGACAUCCACUAUGGCGACUUCAGUGGGUUUUAGAUGGGGCCAAUCCCAAAGAGCUUUAAUCAGGUCCUACAGACCCCUGGCACAAGCUUGCAUCAUCAAUAACAUUCAUAAGCACAAAGUCACUCAAGGUACAAGUAAACUCAUUCAUUCUGGACAUUUACAUCAAAAUUACGUUUGUUCCUACAUUUGAAUACUUUUCAAGUGGUCUUGUCCAACUUAUUUCAUGCCUGAUAUAUCCCCAGGCCACCAAUGGUAAUGAAUAUAAACGUAUUGGAUACAAAUGGCAUAACAACAAGUUCAGGUCACUGGCCCGGUUUGGUCAAUAGAUAGAAAUAUAAGCACCUUAGGUACAUACUGAAUCCAAAUCUCUCAUUCAAUUCAGUCUUUACUAACAAUGUCUAGACUACUUUAAAUGCUACUGUCUAUAUCUUAUACACUUUUCUUUACACCAUCUAGUGAUGACGAUGCUUAGCUUCCAAGACAAGAGCAUUUGAGUAGGAAGUGGAUACAGGUAGACAGAUGCCACUCAGCCAUCUACAACUCAAAGAGACACUGUCCCAUGAAAUAAAGAGAUUCUUUACUGUCAGAGAA